UACGUAGGGGGCGAGCGUUGUCCGGAAUUAUUGGGCGUAAAGAGCUCGUAGGUGGCCUGUCGCGUCGGCUGUGAAAACUCGGGGCUCAACUCCGAGCUUGCCGUCGAUACGGGCAGGCUAGAGUUCGGCAGGGGAGACUGGAAUUCCUGGUGUAGCGGUGAAAUGCGCAGAUAUCAGGAGGAACACCUGUGGCGAAAGCGGCUCACUGGACCAUAACUGACGCUGAUGCACGAAAGCUAGGGGAGCAAACAGG
rnacentral:rRNA from 1 species